AUUGAACGCUGGCGGCAGGCUUAACACAUGCAAGUCGAGCGAGCGGCGGACGGGUGAGCAAGGUCUGGGAAACUGCCUGAUGGAGGGGGAUAAGUACUGGAAACGGUAGCUACUACCGCAUACCGUGCGAUGUGCCCAGAGGGGAUUAGCUAGUAGGUGGGGUAAUGGCUCACCUAGGCGACGAUCCCUAGCUGGGCUGAGAGGAUGACCAGCCACACUGGAACUGAGACACGGUCCAGACUCCUACGGGAGGCAGCAGUGGGGAAUAUUGCACAAUGGGCGCAAGCCUGACGCAGCCAUGCCGCGUGUGUGAAGAAGGCCUUCGGGUUGUAAAGCACUUUCAGCGAGGAGGCGGUACUCGCAGAAGAAGCAACGGCUAACUCCGUGCCAGCAGCCGCGGUAAUUC
rnacentral:rRNA from 1 species